CUGCUGGAUGAUGUCACUGCUCCCUCCGGAGAGAAGCUGCAGACACCGAAUCCAGCCAGCGCGCGGCAAGUUGUCGUGUUCUGGGUGGGGUGGGGCGGGUGCUCAGGUCUGCCACUCACUCAGAAAAGCAGCAGGAAGACAGCUGGGCCGGGGCGGGCAGUGGCGGGGAGCGCGGUCACGUGAGGGCUGCAGCAGGUGCGUCUCGGCGGUGAGAGGCCGGGCACACGCAGGCCACGAGCAGGUCUUCAUCGUCCCGGGUGUUGGGAAAUUUUCAUGGCAUCACGUCAGGGAAAGAGCAAAGACAGCUGCAGAACGCGUCCAGUCCUGUGUCACCCGUGUCGGAGGUGUGUGUCACCCGUGUCGGAGGUGUGUGUCACCCGUGUCAGAGGUGUGUGUCACCCGUGUCGGAGGUGUGUGUGUCACCCGUGUCAGAGGUGUGUGUCACCCGUGUCGGAGGUGUGUGUGUCACCCGUGUCGGAGGUGUGUGUCACCCGUGUCGGAGGUGUGUGUCACCCGUGUCGGAGGUGUGUGUCACCCGUGUCAGAGGUGUGUGUGGAACAAGCUUCAAGCCUGUGUCACCCGUGUCAGAGGUUACAGUGAUGUCACAGAUGGGGCCGCGUGUGUGGAACGAGCCGAGCAUGCUGGGACAAAGGUGAGGGCACCAGGACUGCCAGUGGGUGUCGGGAGUCUGGCAUCCGCCGAGCUCUGGGGCACUGCCGACGCUGGGAACCCUUCCAGGUGCCACUGGCUUUUGUCUGGAGACACCGGCUGCUUGGUUCUUUGGUUCGUUCCUGGCUCCGCGGUUCAGCCAUGGGCUCCCAACACUCUUGGGGGGUCCCGCUUUCUUCUAGGCUCCUAAUGUAGCUGAGGCCUGGCCUUGGGGCCUGGGAGGACAAGCACGUCUCAAACACGGCACCGGGAAGCUGUGCACUGGCAGGGGAGCUGUGUCCACACCACAGGGGGAGCCCCUGGGGGAGGUGUGCUCACACCACCGGAGGAGUCCCCGGGGGGAGGUGUGUUCACACCACAGGGGGAGCCCCUGGGGUAGCUGUGUCCACACCACAGGGGGAGCCCCUGGGGGGAGGUGUGUUCACACCACAGGAG